GGUUGUGAGUGACAUCUGACUGCAACGUCCAUCACCCAGAUGAUUCUAGAUUGAUUUGGCUGAUCUGGAGGGCUAGAUGGCUGUCCUCCAUUCUACAUUGUUCCCAGUGGAACCUUCCAAAAGCUGAGAACUCAGUCCAAAAGAAAAACUCUCCAAAUUGAGAAAUGUUUGUCUUCUAAGUGGGUAAUUGGAGAUGAGGGAGAAACUUUUGCUAGGGGAGGGCCAGACCUACAGGAGGGAAGGAGCAGCAAGUCUUGAGGGACCUGUAUAAGCCAGACUGUCAUAGCCA
rnacentral:sRNA from 1 species